rnacentral:rRNA from 1 species
UACGUAGGGGGCUAGCGUUGUCCGGAAUCAUUGGGCGUAAAGAGCGUGUAGGCGGCUCGGUAAGUCCGCUGUGAAAGUCCAGGGCUCAACCCUGGAAUGCCAGUGGAAACUGUCGAGCUAGAGUCCGGAAGAGGCGAGUGGAAUUCCUGGUGUAGCGGUGAAAUGCGUAGAUAUCGGAAGGAACACCUGUGGCGAAAGCGGCUCACUGGACCAUUACUGACGCUGAGGCACGAAAGCUAGGGGAGCAAACAGG